GCUCAAAUAAGAAGUGUUAAAGGGUGGCUGCUGUGUCACAUGUGCAUCAGUAGAUGGCAGAAAGAAGAGAGGCUAUGGCUAUGCCCAGUGUUCAUUCAAAUCUAUGAAUAUCUGAAUGAUUAGUGGCCAAACAAU